rnacentral:rRNA from 1 species
ACGAAAUAGUAGCAAUACUAUUUAGUGGCGGAAGGGUUAGGAAUAUAUGGAUAACUUACCUCUAACUUGGGAAUAACGGCUGGAAACGGCCGCUAAUACCGAAUGUGGUGGAUUUAACAGAAGAUAGAUUCAUUAAAGUGGGGGACCGGUAACGGCCUUGCGGUUAGAGAAAGGUCCAUACGAUAUCAGCUAGUUGGUGAGGUAAGAGCUCACCAAGG